rnacentral:rRNA from 1 species
AUUUUGAAUGGCCGCGGUAUUUUGACCGUGCAAAGGUAGCAUAAUAAUUAGUUUUUUAAUUGAAAGCUGGAAUGAAAGGUUGGAUGAGAAAAUAACUGUCUCUAUUUAAAUUAAUUAGAAUUUUAUUUUUAAGUAAAAAAGCUUAAAUUAUAAUUGAAGACGAGAAGACCCUAUAGAGUUUUAUUAAUUUUUAGUAUUUAGUCUUUAGUAUUUAUUGAUUUUUUCUUAAGAAUUAAUUUAGUUGGGGUGAUUGAAAAAUUUAGAAAACUUUUUUUAUAUGUAAACAUUUAUUUAUGAAUAUAUGAUCCUUUUAUAAAGAUUAAAAGAUAAAAUUACCUUAGGGAUAACAGCGUAAUUUUUUUAGAGAGUUCAAAUCGAAAAAAAAGAUUGCGACCUCGAUGUUGGAUUAAAAUAAAAUUUUGGUGUAGAAGCUAAUAAAUUUAGGUCUGUUCGACCUUUAAAAUUUUACUUGAU